rnacentral:misc_RNA from 1 species
UGCUCAUUGCAAACAACUAGAUAUACACAAAGAAAAUUACUGAGGCAGCAAUAGCUGAUCAUCAACCAUACAUUGGCAACAAGAAUCGGAUUCUAUACUCCAUCAUCAAGCCUAACAAAAGCUAAAGGACAAGGUCCCUAUUGACAAAUUUUUGUUGAGAUUUUAGCCAAAUUUUGAUGUGUUGACUAAGAAAUAGCCUAUUUUUAAUGGUAGAAGUAUAUUAGAAAAUUUUACUUGAUUACCAUAUAAAAAAUUUGGCAAUAAUGACCUUAUGGAAACAAUCAAAACUUAUAAGUUGAAAUUUAGUGGACAAUAAAAUUUAGAGGAACUGAUAAUUUUAAUGACCAUAGAUGAAAUUGUGCCAAUUUUGCAAAUCCAAAUUGUUAUAUUGCACUUCACAGAGUUAGAUCUCUACCACAAAGCAUGGUUGUCAUAGCCGCAUUAUUCAUCAUAAAAAAAAAUGCUUGGGCCAGAAAAGAUAAAUAAAAUAUCUAAUUGAAAUCAUAAUCAAUAGAUAACACACUUUUAAGCAAAUAAAGCUAUUAUUAUAUAUAAUUUCAAAGAUUCUGAAUUUCCAAUAUUAUUAGCCAUGAAGAACAUUUCAAUUAACUG